ACCCUGCAAAGGAAUUUGAGUAUGAAUUUAACAGAUAUAAAAAGACAGAACAUGUAGCUAAUGAUCAUUUUCCUUCAAUCAGCUAGAAUCAGAACAGAUUUUUUUUUUUCUACCUUUGAGUCCACAAGCCAAAUCUUCUUGCGAGUCUCUUCCACUGGCAUGUUGUUCUGCACUCAAGUAGUGAAAAAAUUAUAGUUGCUUACAUCUGUUUCACAUCAAUUACUCUCAUAAUCAUAUCUGAGUAAAAAAUAAUUAGAAAAAAAAUAAAUAAAAAUGGUGCUGACAGACCUCUUUGGACAUCUCAAGGGCAAUGAGUUCUGCAAUUCCAGUGCCAGCCUGUGAUCGGCAACAAAGUGAGACUCGCAAAAUUAGAAAGAGAUGCUGGGUUGAUAAAUGUAGCCAAGGAUUCUCCCUGCUUACUUAUUACAAGGGUUAUUAACCAAACUAUUAAGAAUUAUCAGCACAAUUAUUAUCUGCUCACCUCUCCAGCACCAAGAAAUAAAAAUUUAUGGUCAGCUAGAGUUCCACCAAGUAAUUUCAGUGCUGCAAUAAGCCCUGCAAGGACCACAGAUGCUGUGCCCUGGAAUGAAACAUUGUAUUUAAGUAUAAGAGCUGUAUCAUUCCUAGGUGCUAAAUAUUGCAAUUGUAUAUGUAAAAAGAAAAAAAAAAAAAUACCUGAAUAUCAUCAUUGAAAACAAGAUGUGUUGUACCAUAUUUAGCGAGCAGAUCAAAAGCAUUGUGAUUUGCAAAGUCUUCAAACU